rnacentral:rRNA from 1 species
CCUACGGGGUGCAGCAGUAGGGAAUAUUGCACAAUGGGGGAAACCCUGAUGCAGCAACGCCGCGUGGAGGAUGAAGGUUUUCGGAUUGUAAACUCCUUUUGUUAGAGAAGAUAAUGACGGUAUCUAACGAAUAAGCACCGGCUAACUCCGUGCCAGCAGCCGCGGUAAUACGGAGGGUGCAAGCGUUACUCGGAAUCACUGGGCGUAAAGAGCGCGUAGGCGGGAUAGCAAGUCAGAUGUGAAAUGCUAUGGCUUAACCAUAGGACUGCAUUUGAACCUGUUAUUCUGGAGUAUAGGAGAGGUAAGUGGAAUUCUUAGUGUAGCGGUAAAAUCCGUAGAGAUCAAGAGGAAUACUCAUGGCGAAGGCGACCUGCUAGAACAUAACUGACGUUGAUGCGCGAAAGCGUGGGGAGCAAACAGGAUUAGAUACCCGUGUAGUC